GGAAGUGGUAGCUCAGUGGUUAAGACAGCUGACUUCCAAUCGGAAGGUUGAGAGUUCAAAUCCCAGCACCACCA